GAUGAACGCUGGCGGCGUGCCUAAUACAUGCAAGUCGAGCGAACAGACGAGGAGCUUGCUCCUCUGACGUUAGCGGCGGACGGGUGAUUAACACGUGGAUAACCUACCUAUAAGACUGGGAUAACUUCGGGAAACCGGAGCUAAUACCGGAUAAUAUAUUGAACCGCAUGGUUCAAUAGUGAAAGACGGUUUUGCUGUCACUUAUAGAUGGAUCCGCGCCGCAUUAGCUAGUUGGUAAGGUAACGGCUUACCAAGGCAACGAUGCGUAGCCGACCUGAGAGGGUGAUCGGCUACACUGGAACUGAGACACGGUCCAGACUCCUACGGGAGGCCGCGGUAGGGAAUCUUACGCGAUGGGCGAAAGCCUGACGGAGCAACGCCGCGUGAGUGAUGAAGGUCUUCGGAUCGUAAAACUCUGUUAUUAGGGAAGAACAAAUGUGUAAGUAACUAUGCACGUAUUGACGGUACCUAGUCAGAAAGCCACGGCUAACUACGUG
rnacentral:rRNA from 1 species